UCAGCGGUGAAAGUCUGUGGCUCAACAUAGAAUUGCGUUGAACUGGGGGCUUGAGUAUGUUUGAGGCAGGCGGAAUGCGUGGUGUAGCGGUGAAAUGCAUAGAUAUCACGCAGAACCCCGAUUGCGAAGGCAGCCUGCCAAGCCAUGACUGACGCUGAUGCACGAAAGCGUGGGGAUCAAACAGGAUUAGAUACCCUGGUAGUCCACGCAGUAAACGAUGAUCACUAGCUGUUUGCGAUACACUGUAAGCGGCACAGCGAAAGCGUUAAGUGAUCCACCUGGGGAGUACGCCGGCAACGGUGAAACUCAAAGGAAUUGACGGGGGCCCGCACAAGCGGAGGAACAUGUGGUUUAAUUCGAUGAUACGCGAGGAACCUUACCCGGGUUUGAACGCAUUCGGACCGAGGUGGAAACACCUUUUCUAGCAAUAGCCGUUUGCGAGGUGCUGCAUGGUUGUCGUCAGCUCGUGCCGUGAGGUGUCGGCUUAAGUGCCAUAACGAGCGCAACCCUUGCCACUAGUUACUAACAGGUGAUGCUGAGGACUCUGGUGGGACUGCCAGCGUAAGCUGCGAGGAAGGCGGGGAUGACGUCAAAUCAGCACGGCCCUUACAUCCGGGGCGACACACGUGUUACAAUGGCGUGGACAAAGGGAGGCCACCUGGCGACAGGGAGCGAAUCCCCAAACCACGUCUCAGUUCGGAUCGGAGUCUGCAACCCGACUCCGUGAAGCUGGAUUCGCUAGUAAUCGCGCAUCAGCCAUGGCGCGGUGAAUACGUUCCCGGG
rnacentral:rRNA from 1 species